AGUGAACGCUGGCGGUAGGCCUAACACAUGCAAGUCGAACGGCAGCACAGUAAGAGCUUGCUCUUACGGGUGGCGAGUGGCGGACGGGUGAGGAAUACAUCGGAAUCUACUUUUUCGUGGGGGAUAACGUAGGGAAACUUACGCUAAUACCGCAUACGACCUACGGGUGAAAGCAGGAGAUCUUCGGACCUUGCGCGAUCGAAUGAGCCGAUGUCGGAUUAGCUAGUUGGCGGGGUAAAGGACCACCAAGGCGACGAUCCGUAACUGGUCUGAGAGGAUGAUCAGCCAAAAUUGGAAUUGGGAACGGGCCAGGCUCCUACGGGAGGCAGCAGUGGGGAAUAUUGGACAAUGGGCGCAAGGCUGAUCCAGCCAUACCGCGUGGGGGAAGAAGGCCUUCGGGUUGUAAAGCCCUUUUGUUGGGAAAGAAAAGCAGCAGGUUAAUACCCCGCUGUUCUGACGGUACCCAAAGAAUAAGCACCGGCUAACUUCGUGC
rnacentral:rRNA from 1 species